UCCACCCACUCGUUACAUUAAUGAAAUAAAUAAGUAAACGCAAUUUUUUCUUUUUUCUUUUUGAUAUUCGAAAAGACGCAAAAUAGUGCCGCGAAGCAGAAAAUUCUAGUUCAAUAAAAAAUUUACUAGUUUAAUAUGAGUAAAAAAUAUGAGCUACUGCAAAUAUAAAGUAACCUCAGUGAUUUUAUUACAGAAACAUUUUAUUGCCAGUUACAGUGUCUUCUCGAGAAUAGUGACUUUCAAUUACUGUGAAAAUUUUACGGCGGCAGCUUUAAAUGGAACAUGAAAAAUAAGUUUUCACCAUGGAAAUUGAAUAUUUAUAUUUAAUGGCUGUUUUAAAAGGUCUCUCUCUCUUUCUCUCUCUAAGCCUACAUUUUUAAUGUGAUGAAGUUUGCUUUUGGAAAUCACUAAAAAUUUCUACAGAAACUUGGAGUCGGCUGAUGUAACUUAACGCUUUGCAGCUCAAGAUAGCAAAAAUGCGAAAUGCCUUUGAAGAAGGAUUAAUUUAGAGUGUCGGUGUCGGUGUAGGUGAAUGAAGACUGCAUUGCUCGUGACAGCCAGAAAUGCAAGAUGUUGCAGUUCACCACACCAAAAGGAGGAAAGGAAAAAAUCUUAAAAAGAAAUUACCGAGUAAUGUGACUGUGCUAAGGAAUAAACGGGAUUAAAGCUGCUGGCAUCAGCUGUGACACAAAUUGCAAAACGUGCAAAUGUUGAAGCGAAUUCAAGAGAACUUUGGUCGUGGCGGAAAGCAGGAGGGACGAGCAAAUACAAGAAUAUAAUUUGUUAACAUCUAAUUGAACUUUGCAUCAACACCAACACCAACGGAUGUAUCACACUUAUAUACAUUUUGAGUUCAAAAGUACAUAUUUUAGUAAAGCACUAAAAAAUAGUGGUAGAUAAAGAUAUUAAGUUAUAAGCUAAAUUUUUAUCAUAGUAAUAAUCAUAAAAAGUUUAAUUAUAGGUUUAAAAAUAUAAAUUUUUAUGUUAUCUAUGAUACAAAAAUUGUUCAUAAAAUCUCUAAGAAACAUCUUCAUAUAUGUAUGUAAGGAUUUGUAUUAAUAUUAUUAUUAUUAUUAUUAUUAUUAAUUGCUAUUGCGUCGUCUUUGUAUAAGAAAAUUUCAAUCAAAAGAAGUAACUAGGAUCGAAUUUAAACCAGUUUACGAGUAUAUUCAAUUAAACUUCACUGCAAUAUGAAAAUUCCAAAAAAAAAAAAAGAAAAGUGUUACGUAAAAAAAUUAGAAAUAGUAUAUGAUUUUUAACUUAUUAAGCUAAACCCUGUUAACCUCUUGAAAAAUAAAAGUAUAAACAAAAAGUUAUAUAUAUAAAGAGCCAAAUCGUAUUCCGCUCUAUGGAAAGUAGCGCCAAUUAUUUACAGUUUCGCCUUUUGUAAACAAACAGCUUCAUAAAGAUAACUAAAUUUAUAUUCAAGUUAUUCGAUCUAAUAUCCCCAAGGGCGAGCAGAAAUAGAAAUCUAUACUUUUUUAUAAGACGUCAUGUAAAAAAAAAAAAAUAAAAAAAGGUUCAUUAUAAUUAGUAAUACCUAAUACAUAGUUGCGCUUAACAAAAAAUAAAAUAAAAAAAUAAAUAGUAAU